rnacentral:rRNA from 1 species
GACGAACGCUGGCGGCGUGCUUAACACAUGCAAGUCGAGCGGAAAGGCCACUUCGGUGGUACUCGAGCGGCGAACGGGUGAGUAACACGUGAGUAAUCUGCCCUUGGCUUUGGGAUAGCCACCGGAACCGGUGAUUAAUACCGGAUAUGACCACUUCACGCAUGUGAUGGUGGUGGAAAGUUUUUCGGCCAGGGAUGUGCCCGCGGCCUAUCAGCUUGAUGGUGAGGUAAUGGCUCACCACGGCUUCGACGGGUAGCCGGCCUGAGAGGGUGACCGGUCACACUGGGACUGAGACACGGCCCAGACUCCUACGGGAGGCAGCAGUGGGGAAUAUUGGACAAUGGGCGGAAGCCUGAUCCAGCAACGCCGCGUGAGGGAUGACGGCCUUCGGGUUGUAAACCUCUUUCGCCUAUGACGAAGCGCAAGUGACGGUAAUAGGUAAAGAGGCACCGGCCAACUACGUGCCAGCCGCCGCCAGUAAUAC